rnacentral:rRNA from 1 species
UACGGGGGGAGCAAGCGUUGUUCGGAUUUACUGGGCGUAAAGGGCGCGUAGGCGGUCAGCACAAGUCAGUUGUGAAAUCUCCGGGCUUAACUCGGAAAGGUCAAGUGAUACUGUCGGGCUAGAGUACAGAAGGGGCAACUGGAAUUCUCGGUGUAGAGGUGAAAUUCGUAGAUAUCGAGAGGAACACCGGUGGCGAAGGCGGCGAUCUGGACGAUGACUGACGCUGAGACGCGAAAGCGUGGGGAGCAAACAGG